UGACACAGGGAGGUAGUGACAAGAAAUAACAAUACGGGGCUCAACGCCUUGUAAUUGGAAUGAUGGGAACCUAAACCCCUUCCAGAGUAUCAAUUGGAGGGCAAGUCUGGUGCCAGCAGCCGCGGUAAUUCCAGCUCCAAUAGCGUAUAUUAAAAUUGUUGCAGUUAAAAAGCUCGUAGUUGAAUUUCUGCCGCAUCGCGGCGGCCCUCCCGGGCCCAGCG
rnacentral:rRNA from 1 species